GCAAAACAUCGUAUUAAUGCUGUCAAGAUCACUAUUGUAAUCAGAUGGCCGCAAUGAAGAAAAAGCUUGUUAUUGUAGGCGAUUCUUCUUGUGGGAAAACCCGACUUCUGUUCACAAUCAGCAGAGGUCGAUACGUGGAUGAUGAAGUUCGAUUAGCAUUUCAAGAUUAUGAAGCAGAGAUAACUAUCGAAGAAAAAUUAAUGAAAUUCGACCUUGUAGAUACUCCAGGUUUGGAAGACUAUGAUCUUAUAAGGACACUUUCAUAUGAAGAUACGGACAUAGUAUUAGUUUGUUUCGCUGUGGAUAACCAAGACAGCUUAAGCAACAUUUCGAAGAAAUGGAUUCUGGAAGUCAGAAAAGUACUGCCCGGGAGUUCCAGUCAUAUUGGUCGGUAACAAAAAGGAUUUGCGAGAUUUUGGGGAAGCAGAUAACCGUCCAAACCUUGUGAAUCCAGAAGAAGGUAUAUUGCUUGCUGAAAAAAUAGGAGCUCAUAGCUACUUGGAAUGCUCAGCCAAAACGUUCGAUGGCGUGCAUCAAGUUUUCGAUACUGCUGCCCGACUGACUCUGCAAUUCCCUAAAAAUGUAGCAGUAAAAAGAAUAAAUGAUGAUUGAAAUAAAAUGAAUGCAUUAAAGAAUCUGAAGGAGAAAUUAAACUUUUUUUUUCUUCAGUUUUUCAGUCAGUCAGUUUCAUUCUUUCCUACAGGUCACGUUGUUUCUUUCACUGUGGGUGUUGAAAUGUUACGAGCAUAUGUUAAAUAACUACCAUUAAAAGAAAAUUAUUCAUAAACAUUUUAUU